rnacentral:siRNA from 1 species
UUUUCCUGCCAAAAACGUAAACU